rnacentral:lncRNA from 1 species
CUAGCGGCCGUUACAGGGAAACUGGUGGAUGCUGAGCGAUGACGAGCCCCGGAUUCCACGUGAAACUCACGCCGCGCCAGGAAGCGCAGGAUGCGGAUCAAAUUCAGCCAAAAGUGGCGAUUAUCAGCGGAAGCGGACGCCGGGCGGGAAGCCGUCGGUGCGUGAGCGCGUGCGGCGGCGGCGGAGCGGCGGCAGAACAGAAAAUCACUCCCGUUGGACGAACGGACGGCUCUUCGGACGGGACGACGCAGGCAAAGUGUCCCACAUGCGCCGCCAGCAGCGUGGAAGUUGGUGCGCCGCGUGGACCGGAAGCUAAACACGGCGCACUUCCGAUGCUGUUUCACACGUACUGUGUGGUGAGGGAACAGGAAACAAUAAGAAGCGAUGAGGCUCCUGAUGUCACAGAUCUGCACAGUAGGAGAUAAUAAACCGCAGCCUGUUGAGUUUAAUGUCGUCAUCGGUCCAGACAGAGAAGCGGAUUCUCUCUGUCCGUUGCUUCAUCCCUGAACUGAGCCGCUGCCUCCUGCUGUGAUAAUGUCGUAGUGGUAUAAAUACAAAUAUCUAUGAGUAAAUAUCAAACUCAUUUACACAGUUACAAAGCAAAACAUGAAACUAAUGAAAACAAGUAAACAUGAAUGAAAGACAGAAAUUAACAAGAAGUGAAUUGAGGAAGUUGCAUUUUUCUUAAACAGGAAGAAGAAAUUCAUCAUCUGUAGGAAGCAGCAGGUCAGAGACUCGAUGGCUGAACUCUCAUGGAUUCAUGUGAUUUUACUUAUGAUCCUGAAGCUUCAGUUGAAAGCAACAUCUGGACAACAAUACUCCUACACCACUGUCACAACUGGAGCUGAUGUCACUUUGUCCUGUCCAGAUGUAAAAAUUCAGCAGGAUGAUUGUGGGAAAAUUAACUGGAUCUUUAAACGUACACUGGAAAACAGCUUAAAGCUGGUUACGUCUGGAAAAAUAGACACAAAUAAAUUAGACCGACUAAGAUUAACAAAGACCUGUUCUCUGGUCAUAAAGAACGUCGCCAUAAAGAACGAUGUUGGUGUCUACAACUGCACACAAGAAGGUCAAAGGUCGAAUAGACUGGCUUAUUUGUCUGUUGUUACCAGUAAGUAUUUACCUCAUUUAACAGGAGCUUAAACUGUAGAGAAUAAGAAUAAAAGUGAAUAAUAACGAUCA